rnacentral:rRNA from 1 species
AUUGAACGCUGGCGGCAUGCCUUACACAUGCAAGUCGAACGGCGGCGGACCUUCGGGUGCCGGCGAGUGGCGAACGGGUGAGUAAUAUAUCGGAACGUACCUUUCAGUGGGGGAUAACGUAGCGAAAGUUACGCUAAUACCGCAUAUUCUGUGAGCAGGAAAGCAGGGGAUCGCAAGACCUUGCGCUGAUUGAGCGGCCGAUAUCAGAUUAGCUAGUUGGUGAGGUAAAGGCUCACCAAGGCGACGAUCUGUAGCGGGUCUGAGAGGAUGAUCCGCCACACUGGAACUGAGACACGGUCCAGACUCCUACGGGAGGCAGCAGUGGGGAAUUUUGGACAAUGGGCGCAAGCCUGAUCCAGCCAUGCCGCGUGAGUGAAGAAGGCCUCGGUUGU